AAAAGCUGCAAACAUUCAUAUAGAACUCUGAGCGCAAAAGCUGCAUGAAUUUAUGUAAAACUCUGUUAUCUCACUUUUUAGAUUAGAAUCAAUCUAAACAUCAGGUCA